AAAUUUUCAUCAAGUGCUUCUGUAUGUAUUGAGACUGAAAAGUGACCAAAACUUUUCACUAUAAAAGCUUCAGUAUCACAGGGACAUCAUGGUGUCCUCAGAAAGUACACACAUACUUCUAAGAAGAUGUGACAGUCUGCACUGAUAUGAGCUGCAAGGUAAUUAUUCCAGGAAUACUGCGAUAGCUCACAGAAUUCAAGUAGAAGUUAAACAAUAAAGCCUGAGAAGAGGUAAGAACUGUAUAAACUCCAGCAACCUUAGAACAUUCUCAUUCAUGUGACUCAGCUCCUGAGUCUCAGGUUCUGGCUUUCUUUAGUCAGAUUCUUAAGAUUAGCUUUCUGAUUGGCUCACACUGGUUUUAUCAUUCAUAGCUUCCAGGUCCGGAUAUCAGGGCAGUUCUUAGGGAAGGGCUGUGAAGACAGAUAAUGUGUCCUCCUACAUUCCAUCCUUGGUUUCCCAGUAUCUACAUCUUUCCCAUUCACAGGGAAGGUGCCCAAUCCAGUUACCCCAUCUGCUACUAUUAUGCCCUCAGGUAGAGACAACAAAUAUCACAUCCAUAAACUGCUUAUAAUAAACAUCAGAGGGCCACUGUUUUCAGAGUAUACUUUGUCCAUCACACUCUUGUUAGACAUUUUUGCAAAUUAUGGACCCAGCUGAAAGUUUGAGUAUGACCAUACAAAAGAAGAAAAAGGAAGAGAGAAAACAACAAAGCAAACAAACAAAAAAAACCCCAAAACUUCUUUUUCAAAAAGACAUUUAUAAUAGACAUCUGAUGCACCGUUCACAGCUCCCUGUAAGACCUGAGAACUUACUCCCUUUAGCUGCUGAUAGAGCUUCAUGCUGACAGCAUGCAGGUCUUCUCUGGAAACUGCUCUUGGCUAAAGUGACUCAUUUAGCCCAAAGUUAUUUCCCCCUCCUGGGUCAGGCUGCAUCCAAUUACCUGUCAAUGUGGGGAUAUAAAGGCCUGGCCCCUUCUCUCUACCUCCACAGGGUCAUCCCAGAGUCAGAGCUCCCUUGGGAUUGGCUAAAGCCCUGCUGUGACUGCACUGCAGCUCAACUUCUGCUCAAAUUCUCUUUGCCACAAUGACUGAUCCACGCAUUCUCCAGUAAACUCCUUGCAUGCUUAUCUCUGUCUCAGAGUCUGCUUUCCCAGUUAUCUGACCUACAAUAGCAUAAUAUAUGAGAUCUUCUAUUUUAACCCCCCAGACAUUAAAAAUAAUGAAUGAACCCUGCUCAUAUGGCUCUGCUAAGAAAUUAAGCUAUUUUUUUUUUAUUUUUUAGCCUUUCCACUCUUCCCAGAUGGACCAUUUGGAUCAGCUACUCCUUGGAGUAAAAAAUGAAGUAUUUCUCUUUCUCUGAUGAAAAGUUAGUUUAUAUCAUUAGACAGUAAGGGCACAAUAACAUAAUGAUCAGAUAUAUAGGGCAGAAGACCAGGUGGGGUUUCUCUUCUGAUUGAUUGUUCUGGUCUACUUAGACAACCGUUUCUCAAUACACCCUUUUUUUUUUUUGCCUUUGGUCCCUGUCAAGUUUGUGGGGCUGCUCGUGUCUUCAACUGACGGAUAAUAUAGGCACCACUGGCACUACCUUAAGUGGCUACAAUGGGACACAUUUUAACUUAUUAAAAACAGAAUCUUUUGAAAAGUAUACAAAAGAAAUACAUGUAUAAGGUGUAUAUGAUUCAAUUUAUGGGCUUAUAAAGUGUAGCACUCUUUCCACUGGUCUAAUCCAAGAUCACUUGUCUUUUCAUUGGGUAGCAUGGAAGCUCACUGGACUAGUCUUUCUAUGAUGAACAGUAUUAAAUUUUUGUAGCAGUUUUCCUCAUUUUUUUGUAUUGUGUACUUGAAACAUUGCAGGUUGGCAGAAGACAGCCAGCAUGUAGCAAGUGUAUUUAAGGUUAAAUAUAACCAGUAUGCAGGGAAUCAGCCAAAAGGCAAAAACAGUUCAUGAGUCUACCUUCAGUACAAGAAGAAUCCAGUUUCUUAGACAUGUGGAAGUUUUUAGGCAGCAAAGGUAAAGGUGUGUACCUCUCGGAAAGCAUGUAGUGAAGUUUGGGUAGAACAAAUAGCAUGGAUGGUCAGUGUACUUGGGCCCUCACACCUGCUUGAAGGCUGCAGGAUGUGACACUCAGCCCUUACCUUUCUUUGGGGGAGGAGGGGCCCUGCCAUCACAGGAAUUUCUAUCUUUGGACUCUGUUGGUCCUUGAGUUCCUCCAUGGGUGGACUGUCUUUUGUUUCCUUAAUUCAUGCAUAAGCCUCAGUUUCUUCUCUAGGAUCUGACCAGUAUCUGACUUGUUCUUCUGAGUUUCACUACCCACUUUAUCCAUAAACACUGCUCUAAUUUCUAGUAGGUUUAGGCUGUCAACAGAGGCUGACAUCACUAUGGAUUUGUGCUGUGGAUCUUCCUGUACCUUCCCAGUUUUCUGUGGAUGAAGCAUCUGACACAAACAUUUCAUCCGGUUUUUAAAGUUAUUCUUUCAUGGAACCUGUAGCACGAACUGGGGAGACUUGCUCGCAGGGAUCUCUGCUAAUUCCCUGUCCUGGACAAGAUUUUUGUGGAAGAGAAAUUCUCCUAUCCAGUUUCAUUUUUCCAUCUGAUGAAGAAAAUUCCUCAGAAUUUUAUAUCCACUGCAAUAUGG